GUAAGGAACACUUCCUAAGAGAAAACUCUUCCUGGGAGAAUUGCAGCCCAGUAAAUGGAUGCUCUCACGAUUCUCGGUGAAAUAACUCAUGGACCUUUUUCCUUGUGAACAGGGAACUUCAAAACAUCAUGGGGUGAGCCUUAUAUUCCUACAACAGAAUCUAAGUGCCGUGAGAGAAGCACUCCUUUGAUAAAAGUCCCAGGGCUGUAAGAAGGUUCCUGUGAAGUGGAAAUGCCCAGUGGCAGAAGAGAGACACAGAAAGCGAAGGAUCACAGAGGCAAAAUACUAGUCUGAACUAAGAAGAAUUACAGGACGUCAAAAACAGACUCACCAUCAAGAGGAAGGAUACAAGCAGGCAGUGGGUCUUGAGAGGUAAAGGACCCAAAGUCUGGAGAAGUGAUGAACAUUAGCCCAAGACGACACAGCGACACACCUUGGACUCCCCUAUUUACCAUGCUGGAGCUGCUUCUGCCUGAGACCUGGAGGACAAUUUAUUAGACCUUCAGAGGGACAUGAUCAUCUGAGACUUCCUAGCACUCUUAAUGAUACAGCC
ensembl:lncRNA